UACAGAGGUGGCAAGCGUUUGUUCGGAAUUACUGGGCGUAAAGGGCGCGUAGGUGGCCUUCUUAGUCAGACGUGAAAUCCCCGGGCUUAACUCGGGAACUGCGUCUGAUACUGGAAGGCUGGAGUUCGGGAGAGGAAUGUGGAAUUCCAGGUGUAGCGGUGAAAUGCGUAGAUAUCAGGAGGAACACCAAUAGCGAAGGCAGCUCGCUGGGACGUUACUGACACUGGAGGCGCGAAAGCGUGGGGAGCGAACAGG
rnacentral:rRNA from 1 species